CAGCCGCCACGGUAAUACGUAGGUGGCGAGCGUUGUCCGGAAUUAUUGGGCGUAAAGGGCUCGCAGGCGGUUUCUUAAGUCUGAUGUGAAAGCCCCCGGCUCAACCGGGGAGGGUCAUUGGAAACUGGGAAACUUGAGUGCAGAAGAGGAGAGUGGAAUUCCACGUGUAGCGGUGAAAUGCGUAGAGAUGUGGAGGAACACCAGUGGCGAAGGCGACUCUCUGGUCUGUAACUGACGCUGGGGAGCGAAAGCGUGGGGAGCGAACAGGAUUAGAUACCCCUGUAGUCCCUGUCUCUUAUAC
rnacentral:rRNA from 1 species